GCUCUCUAAAGAAACUCUUGAGCAGCUGGUUUCAGUGGUGUAUGAAGCACAGGAUGAUGAACUGACGCGCUGCUUUCUGAAGAAGGUUUCUGAGGAUCUGACUUCCUGCUCACUGACCUGGGAAGUGAUUCAUUACCUGCUGCAACAUCAAGCUCUAAACCUGAAGUUGGACUUUAGAAAGAGCAAAAUCUCUUUUGAAAACAUCAGAGAACUUCUGCCGGUGUUAGACAGAAUCCAGCUGAAACGGUAAAAGAAAUGAUAGAACUGCUCAGUUUGUACACAAUUUGUCAUAAAACCUAGAAGAGAAUUGCUAAUUUAGAGCCACAAGUUCUCCCUGGAAUUUCAAAUGUUUAUUAAACCUUGUUUUACUCGAUUUAUAUGUAAACUAAGGUAUGUUGUUAACACUGGAAGGUACUUUCUGGUUUUAUUUUACAACAUAAAUAAUACACCAUCAUGCCACAAAUGUGAGUUUUGAAACCAUUGUGCCCUUUGCUAACAAGUUGCUACAAGAACUACAACAGUUGUCCGAUUUGUCAAGCAUAUUAAACAUCCUUGUGUUGGUUGUAGUCCUAUGAAGUUUAGUAAACUUGAAUAUCCCAUGGCAAAAUAGCCUUCCAGGUGAGCCUACAAACUGACAUCUUAACAGUUGCAUCCAUUGACAUAAUUGAAGAUACUUGUAAUUUACAGUUCAGUUUGGGAUUUGUAUUUACUGAGUGCCUUUAAUUCAAGUAGAUUUCAUUGAGUGAUCUUCUUCUCCACAGGAUGAGCCCCAGCUUCACUCUGUCCAUCAUCAUGGAGAUUUACGAGACUCGCUUUCCUCAGUACGUGUCCAGUCUGUCGAGUUUGGUGAAGAAUUAUAUCAACCUGAAUGGCCGAGUGUUGGACUCUGUUCACUGCGCUGCCCUGCGCUUCACUCUGCAGCACUGCAACACUGUCAAACUCAAUCUGCUCUGGACCUCCAUACCAGCAGAGGAGCUCCAGAGCUUUCUGCCUUUACUCAGCAGAGUCACACAACUCAGUGUUGACAGGCUGCUGUUGCUGAAGCUGCUUCGUUGCUGCAGUUCCUCUGAUCUCCAGCAGGAGGCAGCAGAUGUUCUUCUCUCUGCUCUUCACUACAGACUGGACUUCUCCUGCUGCUCUGCUCUGGAUUUAACAGACACACUGGAAAACCAAGAACAUUUGAAACUAACUGAAAAAGACUGUAGAAUAAUCUCAUCUGUGCUUCAGAAAACUCAGAGUGUUGUGAAAUUAAUUUUACAGGACUGUGAAAUUUCUGAUACAGCUUUGAAACAACUUUGGCCAAUCCUGCCUCAAGUCCAGCUGAGCUGCAGUAAAGCUCUGCUGCUGCAGUUUCUGGCUUGUAUUAGUAAAGAUGGAUCUCAGAGAGGCUCUUUGAGGAGCGCUGAGGCUCUUUCACAGGCUUUGGGAGGAGAGAUGGACCUCAGUCACACUCAGAUGGACCCGAGAGCUUGUGAACAGCUGGCGCUGUUUCUGGAAUAUUCUGAAGGACUAGAACAGAACUGGAAUACUCUCUGCAUGGAGCCGCUGCUAGCCACAUCUGCACAAAACCCAGACCCUGGACCUGAGUCACAAUAAUAUCACAGAUGAAUCAGCAAAGAGAAUCCACAGUGUCGUCUUCACUCACAGCAAUCUUUAGACUGUACGGUAAGUGUGUGUGUGAUCUGUGUUUUAUUAGUGAAGGUCUAUUAACACUCUAUGUAAUUUAGUUUUAGUGAUUAACUAAACAAAAAAUAAAUCAUUUGGCUCUGUUUAAUUCAAUCCAAGUCUCAAAUUUUGUAUCUGUAAUCUAGAAUAGUUUCAUUACAAUAAUGUAAAAAAAUUAUAAUAAAUAGUUAAGUCUGUGUAUCUAAAAUGCAUAUUUAAAAUGACAUCAUAUAUAAAUGACAGUGGCUCAUUGUAGAAUACAUGUUUUGCAGAGCUUUACUUUACACUUUGAUGAUUGAACAACUUUGAUUUUGCUCAUCCUCAUUUUUGAGAGAUGUAGAUGAACUAAACACAUCAGUUGAUUUGUAUAUCAUGGUGUCGUCAAUUUUGUGUUUGCAGACUCUUCGGAAACAAAAUCAGUGAUAGAAAGCAGUUCAUCAGAGACAAGCGAUUUGAAAUAUGGUGAAGAUCCUGGGCCAGAACCUCACUGAUUUAACAUUAAGAGGGUAUUUUGUGUAAGGCUUGAUCCGUGAUGAAACAAUUGACAAUCACUUUGCAGAGCACUAAACAGUGUUCUGUGUAGAAGUUUAUUUUUAUGAUUCAUUUAAAAUAAUAUCUUCAUAUCUGAACCAGAUUUAUUUAGCUAUGAUAGCUAUGAUAUGAUGUAUAUUUUGCAAUGUGUUAGCCAAGAGUUAUGGUUUGGGUAUGUAGUAUACUAGGUGUGGAUCUGUCUUCACUGGUUACCGUUCACCGCUCACAUCAAGUUCAAGACAAAUCGACCUCCACUCCUGCUGUUGGUGGGUGAGCAACACCUUGUGUUUCUGUAACAUGAUGG
rnacentral:lncRNA from 1 species